UGAUUCAACAUAGAUCGAUGA
rnacentral:misc_RNA from 1 species